rnacentral:snRNA from 1 species
AGCGGUCUAAUUUAUCUGCGGUU